rnacentral:lncRNA from 10 species
CUCCUUUCCUAGUGUCCCCAUCUUUGCUGCCUUCUGUGAGUUUGAUCAUGUGGACUCCAUGGAGGUUGGCCACUGCUGGGCAAUGCAGCCAAACAAAGUGAGCAAAAGUAGGCUGGAGGGCUCCGUGGGUGACUGGGGCUAGGCUGCCUCUGGUGCCCCAAGAACCCUGAAGCCACCUUGCAGCUCUUCUGAAAUGGGUUGGGGGAUCCAGCUAUCUGUAAUUGUGAAGUGAAGAGGAUGUGACUGCCAGGUAAUGCUAACCCCGAAUCCUUGGUGCCUGUGUUAUGCACCAUAUGCUGAAUUUCGGUUCCAGCUGUGUGCUAGGCUGGGUCUGAUCUGGCAAAGAGGAACUGGCUCCACAGCUCUGGGCAGAAUCCACUGCUGCUCCCACACAGAGAAGACCAGGGGAACCGCAGUCCCACUCUGAGAUGGAGUUUCGCCAUGUUGUCCAGGCUGGUCUGGGACUCCUGGGCUCAAGCAGUCCUCCCACCUAAGCCUCCCAAAGUGUUGGAAUUACAGGCGUGAGCCACCGCGCCCAGCCUGCUGAGACUUUUGAAUGUGUUCUGUUUCCACUACACAAUUGAGAACACUGAAGUACCAGUGACUUCCAGGGUGGGGAAGAAAUCCAGAGGCUGCUCCUGAAAGGGGUCACCCUUGAGUGUGAGUCUGUUCCAAGUAAAUCAAGUGAGCUGGAAGAUCGAGUGGAAACCCUUGACACGUGUUACACACAAACAACACUUGGGGUGGAACAAGAGGUUUACAAUGAUCUGUCUGGGACCCAUAAUACAAUUCAGCAUCUCUUUAGAGCUUCAGUCUAUCAAACAUUUUCAGACUAUUUCAUUUAACCUUAACAGUUAUUGAAAUGCUUGGGGGGGAAAAAAACCUCCACAUUUGAGAUUUCCAUAGCAGAAGCAUCACCAGCAGCCUCAACAGCCAUUCAAAAAGAUAUCGUCUGCAGGCUUGUUACCUCUUAUCGUCCCUCCAUUGUAUUAUAGAACUCUUAUUCUUAGAGAGAUUGCCUGGAAAGAGGUAAAGUAUGCAUAGACAUGGUCAGCCCCAUUUGCAGCUGAGGAAAUGAGACUCAGAGUGGCAAAGUGACUUUUUCAGAAUCAUAGCAGUAAAUGGUAGCAUUAGGAAGCUAAGCCUGAUCAUCCUGUUCUUGUCCUGUUGAGGAGAUAGUGAGAGCAAAGGAAAGUGGCAACAAUGAAGGAAUAAAACCCAGCUCGUCCCCCUGUUCCUCAUGCCCAACCCUUGCCAAGACUUCAGGUAACAGAAGGAAGAGAACACAUGGAUGGGCACAUGCUGGGCCCGGAAGAGCUGUGCAUGUCCCACAGACCACGAGUGUGGAGCCCAUGGCCGUGUGAAGGGGGUGGGGUCCCAGUCCUAGAAGCAGGAUCAUGGAAGUGGCCUUGGAGGACCUGACGAGGAAGCCUAUGAUCUUCCAGGUACUUUUAGGUGAUGUGGAUUUAGACACUGGAUGUGGCUGUGAAGCGGGCUUUUGCUUUUUUGGUUGUCCGGCAUCCAUUUAAUCACGCCCCAGCUUCCUGCUUGGGAACUUCCACUAACGCUGUCAGUCCAUGGACUUCUAGAGGAGCUGAAUCUACCGCUGGCUCAGGAACAGGAACCUGACCUGGGCCUAAGCUAAUGAAUCCAUCAAAUUUACCUUGGCAAAGUGAUUGCCUCAGGAAUGGGCAGUGACCCAACUAGAGCCAAUAGGACUUUUCCCAGGUAUCCUGAAACAGACAGUCUUUUUCUCAUGGAUGUGGACCUGAGACAGUAUAGUUCUGGGAGUUGCUGACAACCAUCUUAUGGUCAUGAGCUGAUUUGAGAUUGGCUUCAACAAGCAGGAAGUGGAACAGAUGGAGAUAAAUUGGAUCCUG